GUGCUCACUUUGGCAGCACAUAUACUAAAAUUGGAACGAUACAGAGAAGAUUAACAUGGCCCCAGUGCAAG
rnacentral:snRNA from 1 species